AAUGGUACCGUUUGGAUGAAUGAUAUAAAUAAAAAAACCUAAACAAGGUUCAUUCAGUCAGAAAAGAAAAGAAAAAAACAACAAGGGAAUAAACCCUAAACGAUGCCCCUCCCUUCUCCGCCGCCUUGAAAGCCAGAACUCUCCUCUCUCUCGUUCCGAUUCGGACAGAGUAGAGGAUGGCUCCAAUGGCGCGCAAAGGUAUGGGUACGGAGACGCAUGACGUGGCUCGGCGCGUAUGAAGGCAGAGGCUAGCGUGGAGCGGCUCGGAGGCGUGGCUCGUGGGGCCGAGGGAAAACCCUGGUGGCUGCGGCGCUGGAGGCAUUCUGGAAACCCUAGGGGUUUCUGAAAAUUAUUCAAAUCGGGCCAUAGUGUAUUGGGCCUAGGGUUUUGGGUAUGGUUGUAUUUGGGUUUGAUUUUGGGCUAGUAAUUUGGGUUUAGGUUUGGGCCGUGUUGAUUUGGUCUGUACGAUUUUUGGCUUGUAACUAUGGACUGAUAUUAUUUGUAAAUGGACUUUUAAUAUUUUUACUUUUA